rnacentral:tRNA from 1 species
GUCCUUGUCGAUUAGUGGUUAAAUCAUCACGUUGUGGCAAGUUCAUAACCGUGAGGCCGGAAGUUCGAAUCCUCCCAAGGACA